CCCUCCUAUUUCUGCCCCACAUUCUUUACGCUACCAUAGAAUAAUGGGUUCUAUUAAUGGAGAAGAGAAAGCCUGCUAACGCAUUACCUACACUUUUGAUACAACCGUGGGUUUUUGUGUUGACAGGAUCGUGUGUAAGGGCCAAACACCUUUAAGAUUAGCUAAUUAUCUUAGAGAUAUGGUGCUUCACUACAUUU
rnacentral:snoRNA from 1 species